GCGGAUCUGUAUUCCGAACCACAGUUAUAGCAGGAAGGAGCCGCAACAUUGCCCUGAUUCCCUCUGUGCAGGCUGGCAAACGGGUCAUUAAUGGAACUAGAUAUUAAAGACAACAACGUUGUAAUGUUUAAAUGGUCAGGACAACCAAGCCCCUCUCUGAUGUUGGUUCUCCAUUUAAGCAGCAAAAUCUGGCUGUGGUUCAGAUCCCCACUUUUCGUGCCAACUUCUCUCUUGCUGGCCUCUCCCUCUCUCACAAUAUCUCUCGCCAGCCUUGACGCCAGCCUGCCUGCCUGUCAGGGCCAAUGCUUCAGGCUGUCAUUAGCAGGCCAACCACAACUAUUCAGACGCACCUCAGUGUUGAGUCACUAAUGGUUAUCUUCGGGCCAAGCUCCAGUCAUCCUACACUAAUGCCAGAACAAUAUCAGGCUUGCUGAUCUGACAUAAAACUGCAGUAAAAUAGCAGAGAGGGAGGCAAACAGUACCCAUGCCUCAUUGAAGAUACAAGAUACAAGAGCCCAAAGGUUGACUUUCUGCAGUUGCUCUUCUUCAACACUUUUCUUAGCUUAGACUGCAGAAAUGGAAGAUUCUAUAUCUAUAACUCAUGUUCAUGGGCUCUGCUUCAGAAACACUCCCCGUGGGGCAGUUUGCAAGGCGGAGGACGGAGCAAAGCCAGGUCGCACACGGAUCGCGGUGCACACGCUCCUGAUGGAAUCAAACAAGCCUCUGUGGAUGGUGAUUCGACCUGAUGGUGGUUGUCCCUGCAGUGGUCCUGCCGUACACUUGUUCUGCUACUUGCUAUUACUUGUAUCAUUUCUGUUAGAGGAUUUGAAUGUAAUGUACAUUUUUCUACAUUGUUGAUUCUGUACACAUGACAUCCAUUGCAGUCUGUCCAUCCCGGGAGAGGGAUCCCUCUUCUGACGUUCUCCCUAAGGUUUCUUCCCUUUUUUCCCCAUUGAAGGGUUUUUUCAUUUUUUGGGGAGUUUUUCCUGUGCCGAUGUGAGGGUUUCAGGACAGAGGAUGUUGCAUGUUGCACUUUUCCCAUACAAUGAUCAUAGAGAAACAUGAGUUAAUAACAAUGUACAGAGUAAAGCAAAAGCCACUAUGUCAGCCAAUAGGAGGUCACCUUUAGUUACGAGCUCAAUGCACCUUACAGAAGAAUAAUGAGGCCAUGCCGUCAUAAAGAGGGGAUAAUUUCACAGAAGCCCUUGAUCUUUUUUUGCUCUACCAGAACCUUGUUUUUGGUAGUUUCUCUUUGUAUAUGGUGUGUUGGUCUGCACAAGUUGUGUAUUAUUAAUGACUUCCUAUGUUAACACGAUAAAAGAAGGCCCUCUGCUGGACACUGCUUUUGACAAACUGGUUUAACGCACAUGUACACGUACACACACACACAAACAUUCAAAUAGGAUACUUGAACAGAAAUGCAAUUAAAUGGUUCAUUCAAAUAUUGUUGUGUUUGGUUGAAUGCUGAAUUCAGCAACUAAAAACCUUGAAAGAUCUUCCCAAGAUUGACCCACUGAAAAGGUUUUGGUGUGUGAGGCUCAAUUAACAUUCCCUCCGUUUUUACAGUCAAGUAUUCAACACAGUGGCUUUCUGUGGGAGCUACUCAUUACUCUAAUGCUGUCACAGAGGGAAUAAAUCCUCUCCUUAAGGGAAAUGCAUCCCCAGGGGAAAGAAUUCUUCAGUGUAAUUUCAACAGCCUUUAAGUUAAGUAGUCUUCUCUAUGAUAUCCACUAAUCCUGAGAAAUCAUCUGGGCAAAAGAAAAAGAUAAAGUGACCCUGUUUGGUAUUGUGGUUCACUGCCGCGCAGCCAGGCUGUGAGAUGUGGGACCGAAUGUUGAGUUGCUUAGUAUUUAAAGUCCAUGCAAAUUUACAGAAACCUUUUAAGCACUCUGCACUGUACUGUUUUCCCGUGCUGCUGAUAAUAAACAACCAUCUACAGUUUGAUAACUGCAUGCAUCAGCUGGUUUGAUAUAAAACACGCCAACUGCCUCAUGCAUGCACAACAUAUGGACAAAGUCACAAGGAUCAUAUUGUAUAGACACACACAUUCAACACCCUCCCACCACUAAAUAAGCAUGUAGCUCUGCCGCUGCCCAGAAAACCUUGUUCUCAGAAGCCC